rnacentral:rRNA from 1 species
ACGGGUGAGUAAUGUCUGGGAAACUGCCUGAUGGAGGGGGAUAACUACUGGAAACGGUAGCUGAUACCGCAUAACGUCGCAAGACCAAAGAGGGGGACCUUCGGGCCUCUUGCCAUCAGAUGUGCCCAGAUGGGAUUAGCUAGUAGGUGGGGUAACGGCUCACCUAGGCGACGAUCCCUAGCUGGUCUGAGAGGAUGACCAGCCACACUGGAACUGAGACACGGUCCAGACUCCUACGGGAGGCAGCAUG